CAACACUGGAAAGAAAUAAUGACUGUUACAUUAUUAUAAUCCUGCUAAACCGUGAAAAUGGAUGUUUUCCUAAGCAAAGUCUUUCUUUCAUUGGAAACAUUUUUACAGAAGGCAACAACAUUGAACAUAUUUGAAGCAUUAAUAUUUAACUAUAAGAUAAAAAUAAAUUCAGUAGAACAAUGUUCACCACAGUUUGUUGGUUUUGUCAUUGAUUUAUGCAACGAGUUACAGGUAAAUUAUUUCACCUAUAUAUGAUUGAGAUUUAUUUACU